CGCUGGCGGCGUGCCUAACACAUGCAAGUCGAGCGAGGAGAUUCCUUCGGGAUGAUCCUAGCGGCGGACGGGUGAGUAACACGUGGGCAACCUGCCUCAUAGAGAGGAAUAGCCUUCCGAAAGGGAGAUUAAUACCUCAUAACAUUGCAGUUUCGCAUGGAACAGCAAUUAAAGGAGUAAUCCGCUAUGAGAUGGGCCCGCGGCGCAUUAGCUAGUUGGUGAGGUAACGGCUCACCAAGGCGACGAUGCGUAGCCGACCUGAGAGGGUGAUCGGCCACAUUGGGACUGAGACACGGCCCAGACUCCUACGGGAGGCAGCAGUGGGGAAUAUUGCACAAUGGGGGAAACCCUGAUGCAGCAACGCCGCGUGAGUGAUGACGGCCUUCGGGUUGUAAAGCUCUGUCUUCAGGGACGAUAAUGACGGUACCUGAGGAGGAAGCCACGGCUAACUACGUGCCAGCCGCCGC
rnacentral:rRNA from 1 species